AUUGAACGCUGGCGGAAUGCUUUACACAUGCAAGUCGAACGGCAGCACGGACUUCGGUCUGGUGGCGAGUGGCGAACGGGUGAGUAACAUAUCGGAACGUAUCCAAUAAUGGGGGAUAACGAGUCGAAAGAUUCGCUAAUACCGCAUACGCCCUACGGGGGAAGGCUGGGGACCUUCGGGCCUGGCGUUAAUGGAGCGGCCGAUAUCUGAUUAGCUAGUUGGUGAGGUAAAGGCUCACCAAGGCGACGAUCAGUAGCUGGUCUGAGAGGACGACCAGCCACACAGGAACUGAGACACGGUCCAGACUCCUACGGGAGGCAGCAGUGGGGAAUUUUGGACAAUGGGCGCAAGCCUGAGCCAGCCAUUCCGCGUGAGUGAAGAAGGCCUUCGGGUUGUAAAGCUCUUCCGCAAGGGAAGAAAACUUAGCCACUAACAUUGGUUGAGGUUGACGGUACCUUGAUAAGAAGCACCGGCUAACUACGUGCCAGCCGCCGCGGUAA
rnacentral:rRNA from 1 species